rnacentral:rRNA from 1 species
UCAGUCGACUCCUACGGGGAGGCAGCAGUGGGGGAAUAUUGCACAAUGGGCGCAAGCCUGAUGCAGCCAUGCCGCGUGUGUGAGAGACUUCGGGUGUAAAGCACUUUCAGUCGUGAGGAAGGUAGUGUAGUUAAUAGCUGCAUUAUUUGACGUUAGCGACAGAAGAAGCACCGGCUAACUCCGUGCCAGCAGCCGCGGUAAUACGGAGGGUGCGAGCGUUAAUCGGAAUUACUGGGCGUAAAGCGCAUGCAGGUGGUUUGUUAAGUCAGAUGUGAAAGCCCGGGGCGUCAACCUCGGAAUAGCAUUUGAAACUGGCAGACUAGAGUACUGUAGAGGGGGGUAGGAAUUUCAGGUGUAGCGGUGAAAUGCGUAGAGAUCUGAAGGAAUACCGGUGGCGAAGGCGGCCCCCUGGACAGAUACUGACACUCAGAUGCGAAAGCGUGGGGAGCAAACAGGAUUAGAUACCCUGGUAG